CAACCGCGAAUAUGUUCGGUGUCGUCCGGUGGUGCGUUUAAUUUUAUAACAAAUACGGGAAAACGGCUAUAAUCUAAUGUGUAACAUAGCUGCUAUUUUGGUUUUUUGGACAAACCAUUAUUUGGGAAAGGAAAAUGCCACGGUUAUGACCCUAACAUGGAACUGAAAGAUAAUUCGCAUGUCCCGGCGGUAACAAAUAUGUAAACGAAAGAACAACAGCGCAAUGCUUAAGAAACGCCUGAGAUUUCCGACCAGUGGUUGGAUUAUUCCGAUGAGCAACCACAAAUAAAAUGAUUCAAAUAAAUAAAAUUGAAAAAGAAA